GACAGUUCGGUCCCUAUCUGCCGUGGACGUUUGAGAUUUGAGAGGGGCUGCUCCUAGUACGAGAGGACCGGAGUGGACGAACCUCUGGUGUUCCGGUUGUCACGCCAGUGGCAUUGCCGGGUAGCUAUGUUCGGAAAAGAUAACCGCUGAAAGCAUCUAAGCGGGAAACUUGCCUCAAGAUGAGAUCUCACUGGAACCUUGAGUUCCCUGAAGGGCCGUCGAAGACUACGACGUUGAUAGGUUGGGUGUGUAAGCGCUGUGAGGCGUUGAGCUAACCAAUACUAAUUGCCCGUGAGGCUUGACCAUAUAACACCCAAGCAAUU
rnacentral:rRNA from 2 species